GCCUGUGUGCUGUAGUGGUUUGAGGGUUGGACUAUGACUCUGGAGACCAGAGUUUGAAUCCCUGCCUAGCUG